rnacentral:tRNA from 5 species
GGCGCGGUAGCCAAGUGGUAAGGCCGAGGUCUGCAAAACCUCUAUGCGCCGGUUCGAUUCCGGCCCGCGCCUCCA